rnacentral:rRNA from 1 species
UACGUAGGAUGCAAGCGUUGUCCGGGUUUAUUGGGUUUAAAGGGUGCGUAGGCGGCCUAUUAAGUUAGUGGUGAAAACGUUCGGCAUACACGGAUACCCGCCAUUGAUACUGAUAGACUUGAGUGCGACAGAGGGUGUUGGAAUGUGUGGUGUAGCGGUGAAAUGCUUAGAUAUCACGCAGAGCACCAAUUGCGAAGGCAGAUGCCUAUGUCGUAACUGACGCUGAGGAACGAAAGUGUGGGGAGCAAACAGG